rnacentral:rRNA from 1 species
UGGGGAAUAUUGGGCAAUGGGCGCAAGCCUGACCCAGCCACGCCGCGUGAGUGAUGAAGGCCUUCGGGUCGUAAAGCUCUGUGGGGAGGGACGAAAAAACGCUGGCCAAUAUCCAGCGGACUGACGGUACCUCCUUAGCAAGCACCGGCUAACUCUGUGCCAGCAGCCGCGGUAAUACAGAGGGUGCAAACGUUGCUCGGAAUCAUUGGGCGUAAAGCGCACGUAGGCGGCCUAGCAAGUAGGGAGUGAAAGCCCUCGGCUUAACCGAGGAAGUGCUUUCUAAACUACUAGGCUUGAAUACUGGAGAGGGUCGCGGAAUUCCCGGUGUAGAGGUGAAAUUCGUAGAUAUCGGGAGGAACACCAGUGGCGAAGGCGGCGACCUGGACAGAUAUUGACGCUGAGGUGCGAAAGCGUGGGGAGCAAACA